ACGCCGCGUGACUGAUGAAGGUCUUCGGAUUGUAAAGUCUCUGUUGUCAGGGACGAACACGUACCGUUCGAAUAGGGCGGUACCUUGACGGUACCUGACCAGAAAGCCACGGCUAACUACGUGCCAGCAGCCGCGGUAAUACGUAGGUGGCAAGCGUUGUCCGGAUUUAUUGGGCGUAAAGGGCGCGCAGGCGGCUAUGUAAGUCUGGUGUUAAAGCCCGGAGCUCAACUCCGGUUCGCAUCUGAAACUGGGUAACUUGAGUGCAAAAAAAGAAAGCGGUAUUCCACGUGUAGCGGUGAAAUGCGUAAAGAUGUGGAGGAACACCAGUGGCGAAAGCGGCUUUCUGGUCUGUAACUGACGCUGAAGCACCAAAGCCUGGGGAGCAAACAGGAUUAAAUACCCUGGUAAUCCACGCCGUAAACGAUGAAUGCUAAGUGUUGGGGGUUUCACUACCCUCAAUGCCGCCGCUAACGCAUUAAGCACUCCGCCCGGGGAGAA
rnacentral:rRNA from 1 species